UAUAUGUUGUGUAGAAAUCACUCAAGUCUGCUUUUUAUUGUGGAAGCUCGUUGUAUGUGUAAAAUUAUUUAUACUCUUGGUCCCGGCGCACGGAGCCUACAAGACGCCGAAUGUUCCUGCUUCUGCUUACCAAGCAGGAAAACACCAGAAUAAGUUUAACUUGGGGAAGAGCAUGAAGAUUGGCGAGAGGUGGGGUACCAGAAAGAGGCGACGUUAAAAUCGGUGCCAGUGACGACGACGGUGGACACGAUGAGCUUGGCGACAGCGGCUGCCGCAACAUUGUUGUACUUGGAGCCCACGCUAUCCGAGCUUGACAAUGCUAAUAGCUCAGUCCUUUUGCGUGUUCAUUGACAAGUUGUCCGUACAGUACCUUGGCGUCAACAACCACGGCCAUGAUGACGGAGUCGUGCUGGCCGACUGCCCUGCUUCCAUGCGCCGAGCAGUCUACUGGUUUGAGAUGACCGUGAGGACUGCUGGGCUCAAGGGGUUGAAUCGGGUUCACCACAUGUGGGGUGGCAACCUGGGUCAGCUAACUUUUGUUGGCCCUUUCUGCUAUUUGGUAUCUCUAGCCUGGUUUUAGUGCUCUGACAACACUUAGCAAUGCUAAACUUGAGACCAAAAGGAGUUGUAAGAUGUGUUCCUUAGAAAUUGUACACUAAACUGCUUGCACGUUUUCAUGCAUGUUGGCACUCAUCUUGGAGCACAAUUAAAUGGAAAUCAGUAGCAAAAAUACAAUCUGCA